CAUGCCAGGCGACUGCUGCUCCACUACCGUGGAAAUUCUACUUACUCACUGAGUGUUCAGAGAGCUCUUAGAGUGAGCCCCGCGGAGGGGACCGGAGUGCCCAUGAAGAACGUCCCCUUCAGAGUCCCCCUCUGGGAGCUAGACCGGAACUUCUGAGCUCUUCCACUGGGAGUAUAUUGUACACUCUACCUGGAUGGCUGCAUAUGUUCCAGAACGUGCUACCAAGGAUGACUUCUGCUGCCCAUGGUGGCCUCUUUCCACGGCAACAUUAACAAUACCUGGCAUCCUUCCUGCUUCUUUAGGAACGGGGCACCUUGAUACUGUCACCUCUUGGACCGCUCCUGUUAUGCCUGCCCCCCACUCUCUCCCUCAGCUUCUGCUACAGUGGCUUCUUCCUUAUUUCUAAGAACUUAAGGCAAGUCAGGACUUCUGUACUUGCCAUUCUCUCUGCCUGGAAUGCUUUUCUGUUAUUACGUGCCUCCCUCCGUCACCCCCCCUUGGGCCUCUCUCCUCAUGUCGUUUCUCAGGAAGGCCACCCCUGGUUAGCAUCUCCACCUGUGCCUCUUUCCUGCUCUCUCCCCAUGGCUUUUGUGCCAUCUGACAUUUUCUUGGCCCCCCUCCCUCGUCCCUGGUACAGUGUAACCUCCACGGGGCAAGGACUUUAAUCUGCUGCUCAGUUUUAGGUGUCUGUGGUUAGCUGGUCUGUUUAUUUGUCAAAGAUCUAUCUUUCACUCUUCUAUCCCCCACACCCACGACUGCAGGGCACAUGGUAGGCACUUGAUAAAAGUCUGUUAAAGGACACAAAGGACACGCAAAUGACUGCAUGAACAUCAGCAAUGGUACAAAGAGUUGCUCAGACUCCUCUUUCCGUCGGUUUUUCCCAUCUGCUUCCCUGUCGUGUCCUCCUCCUUCCGGCCCCUCCCUCUUUCUUCUCCGUCCCACUUCCUACAUGUGAGCUCUCUACAGGAUUCUCCUGUCUUUCUCAGACGUGUCAUCCGGCCAACAGCGCGAGAGCCGCAUGCCGAGAGCAACGUGGAAGGACAUGAGAUGUGGGGACAGCGGAGGCCAAGGGCACACCAGGAGAGGUCGCUCCCAGGGCCCCCAGGACUGCCUGGUAGAACCUGAUGGUGUGUUGUCCGAACAGAACAGAGGCGUGAAAGAAAAAACAGAGAAGGCUGAGGUGGUGUGAGCCCAGGGGUACCCAGGAGAGCUCUGAAGACCUCAGCCGCUAACAAGACAUACGGUGCACGUGCCGGAAGAGGACAUUGCCGGUGCCUGUCACACGCGUUAAAUCACCUUCAGGUGGACCGUUUUGUGGCCUCUGGCCGGCUAGGGUGACUGAAGUGGUCUCAGUAGCCAGCGCCCAAGUAGAUUUCUAGAAGUAAUUGGGUGAAAUUGGACCCCCACCCCCAGACUGGGACCCCCCAGGGCUCUUGGACGGACAGCUCACGCGCGGAGUGUCUCCAAAAAGCCACACAUAGGGAGUUAAUACGUGAUAAAAAUAUUAGAGUUCACUGGAAGGUUUUUCACGAAUGGGUGUGGAAGCAGUUGAUUAGCUUCCCGAAAACAAAAGUAGUUUAAGUCCUCAGGUCACCCCACAUUCCAAAAUAAACUUCACACGGAUCCGAGGGUGAAAUGCCAAACAGAGGAAGAAAAGAAAGAUCGGAAAACAAGUAGAGAUUUGAUUACGAAUGAGAACACUUGGAGCUUCAAAGCAAAUUGUACUUCCAAAAAACAAUUGCACAGAUUUAACCAUUUAGAAAGACACACGUCUAUAACAAAGACAAAAUAAUAAAAUUCAAAGCCAACAAGUGUGACAAGUA